GUCUGUGGCCACACCACCUAGAACGUACCCGAUCUUGUCUAAUCUCAGAAGCUAAGCAGGGCUGGGCCCGGUCAGUACUUGGAUGGGAGAAAUGACAACUAAAUCAGCAUGUGAUCCUGGACU
rnacentral:rRNA from 1 species